GGCGAGGGGAGUGAAAAAGAACCUGAAACCGUGUACGUACAAGCAGUGGGAGCACAGGUUUACCUGUGUGACUGCGUACCUUUUGUAUAAUGGGUCAGCGACUUAUAUUCUGUAGCAAGGUUAACCGUAUAGGGGAGCCGGAGGGAAACCGAGUCUUAAUUGGGCGUUAAGUUGCAGGGUAUAGACCCGAAACCCGGUGAUCUAGCCAUGGGCAGGUUGAAGGUUGGGUAACACUAACUGGAGGACCGAACCGACUAAUGUUGAAAAAUUAGCGGAUGACCUGUGGCUGGGGGUGAAAGGCCAAUCAAACCGGGAGAUAGCUGGUUCUCCCCGAAAGCUAUUUAGGUAGCGCCUCGUGAAUUCAUCUCCGGGGGUAGAGCACUGUUUCGGCUAGGGGGCCAUCCCGGCUUACCAACCCGAUGCAAACUGCGAAUACCGGAGAAUGUUAUCACGGGAGACACACGGCGGGUGCUAACGUCCGUCGUGAAGAGGGAAACAACCCAGACCGCCAGCUAAGGUCCCAAAGUCAUGGUUAAGUGGGAAACGAUGUGGGAAGGCCCAGACAGCCAGGAUGUUGGCUUAGAAGCAGCCAUCAUUUAAAGAAAGCGUAAUAGCUCACUGGUCGAGUCGGCCUGCGCGGAAGAUGUAACGGGGCUAAACCAUGCACCGAAGCUGCGGCAGCGAACGUAUCACUUAAAGCGAUUCAGCGGGUUACGAUUGACGGAGCGAAGCGACGUCAAAGCGUAUACAAAGUCGAGUCGGUUUAAGGAUACGUUCGUUGGGUAGGGGAGCGUUCUGUAAGCCUGUGAAGGUGGCCUGUGAGGGUUGCUGGAGGUAUCAGAAGUGCGAAUGCUGACAUAAGUAACGAUAAAGCGGGUGAAAAGCCCGCUCGCCGGAAGACCAAGGGUUCCUGUCCAACGUUAAUCGGGGCAGGGUGAGUCGACCCCUAAGGCGAGGCCGAAAGGCGUAGUCGAUGGGAAACGGGUUAAUAUUCCCGUACUUGGUGUUACUGCGAAGGGGGGACGGAGAAGGCUAUGUUGGCCGGGCGACGGUUGUCCCGGUUUAAGCGUGUAGGUGUGUGUUCCAGGUAAAUCCGGUUCACUUUAACACUGAGGCGUGAUGACGAGGCACUACGGUGCUGAAGCAACAAAUGCCCUGCUUCCAGGAAAAGCCUCUAAGCAUCAGGUAACAUCAAAUCGUACCCCAAACCGACACAGGUGGUCAGGUAGAGAAUACCAAGGCGCUUGAGAGAACUCGGGUGAAGGAACUAGGCAAAAUGGUGCCGUAACUUCGGGAGAAGGCACGCUGACACGUAGGUGAAGUGAUUUACUCAUGGAGCUGAAGUCAGUCGAAGAUACCAGCUGGCUGCAACUGUUUAUUAAAAACACAGCACUGUGCAAACACGAAAGUGGACGUAUACGGUGUGACGCCUGCCCGGUGCCGGAAGGUUAAUUGAUGGGG
rnacentral:rRNA from 1 species